UGCCCGGUAGCUAAAUGCGGAAGAGAUAAGUGCUGAAAGCAUCUAAGCACGAAACUUGCCCCGAGAUGAGUUCUCCCUGACUCCUUGAGAGUCCUGAAGGAACGUUAAAGACGAUGACGUUGAUAGGUCGGGUGUGUAAGCGUAGCGAUACGUUGAGCUAACCGAUACUAAUGAACCGUGAGGCUUAACCUU
rnacentral:rRNA from 1 species